GCGCCAUGUUGGUUCUCCCGGCCACUCGUUGCUGCUCCGUCGUACUGCACCGACUGCACGUUGGCGCGGUGUGCAAGCUGCGGUAUGCGCUGCGUCUACCACAUCGCUCUGGACCUAGCUUCUUCCGUGACACCAUCCUCGCGCUAAGUGCUUCUACAAGAACCUUGGAGUGAGAAUGCCAGGGUGCUGCGUGCCGCAAUGCACAACCAUCUGGAGACGGGGUGUGAGAAUGUUCCGGUUCCCGACUUGUCCUAACCGACGGAAACGCUGGAUUGCGCAAGUUAAGCGAGACUGCUGGGAGCCGACUGCUUCCUCCCGUGUUUGUGAGGCCCACUUCGAGGACACAAGCUUCGAGCAAAGGAGGCAGGACGGUUUGAAGAAACUAAGGCCAGAUGCUAUCCCGACGCUGUUUUCUUUUCGCCCUCUUCCAAAGCACAGAUUGCCCCCAAAGAAUCGGGAUGCUGUAUCAAACGUACCGCCUCGGCAUCCAGAUCUCUGAAGUGACAGAGUCGCCGGCGUACAACCCAAGACAGCCAGUGCUCAGGUAUCAGAGGUGGCUCCAGUGCCGAAUGUGAUGUUUGCAGCAAGCAGUGCUGUGGAGCCAAACUGUGCCUCCGCAGAUGUAGACACUGUUCAGCUAAGUCUACAUUCUGGUGACACCCCAAGCAACGCCGCUGACAGUUCUGGUAGUGCUAGUUCUGCUUGUGAAUCUUUGGCUGCUAACUCGGUUAAUAUUCCAGCUGACAUGGGCGAUGCUCGUGACUUACGUAUUCAUUGUGCAUCAUUGCCAAUUGCACUUGUGAGCGCACCAGCGUCUGUUCCUACGACAGGAAAAGAUACCAGAAAUUGUCAAAGGACAUCUCAGAAAUUUCUUGUGCCAUCUGUCCCUCUUGAUAACGUUAAAAGUGGCAGUGCUGAUAAGUCCUGCUGCACACGAGAAUCGUUAGCCUCUGCGCAUCAGUAUUUUCACUUCAGUGACACUUAU